AGAACGAACGCUGGCGGCAUGCCUAAUACAUGCAAGUCGAACGAACUCUUCGGAGUUAGUGGCGCACGGGUGCGUAACGCGUGGGAAUCUGCCCCUUGGUUCGGAAUAACAGUUGGAAACGACUGCUAAUACCGGAUGAUGACGAAAGUCCAAAGAUUUAUCGCCAAGGGAUGAGCCCGCGUAGGAUUAGCUAGUUGGUGAGGUAAAGGCUCACCAAGGCAACGAUCCUUAGCUGGUCUGAGAGGAUGAUCAGCCACACUGGGACUGAGACACGGCCCAGACUCCUACGGGAGGCAGCAGUAGGGAAUAUUGGACAAUGGGCGAAAGCCUGAUCCAGCAAUGCCGCGUGAGUGAUGAAGGCCUUAGGUGUAAAGCUCUUUUACCCGAGAUGAUAAUGACAGUAUCGGAGAAUAAGCCCCGGCUAACUCCGUGCCAGAAGCCGC
rnacentral:rRNA from 1 species